rnacentral:rRNA from 1 species
GUGCCAGCAGCCGCGGUAAUACGUAGGGUGCAAGCGUUAAUCGGAAUUACUGGGCGUAAAGCGAGCGCAGGCGGUUGUGUAAGACAGAUGUGAAAUCCCCGGGCUCAACCUGGGAACUGCAUUUGUGACUGCACGGCUAGAGUGCGUCAGAGGGGGGUGGAACUCCACGUGUAGCAGUGAAAUGCGUAGAGAUGUGGAAGAACACCGAUGGCGAAGGCAGCCCCCUGGGAUGACACUGACGCUCAUGCUCGAAAGCGUGGGGAGCAAACAGGAUUAGAUACCCGUGUAGUCC